UACGUAGGUGGCGAGCGUUGUCCGGAUUUACUGGGCGUAAAGGGCUUGUAGGCGGUCCGUUAAGUCCGAUGUGAAAUCUCCCGGCUCAACUGGGAGAGGUCAUUGGAUACUGGCGGACUAGAGGGGGGUAGAGGAAAGCAGAAUUCCUGGUGUAGCGGUGAAAUGCGUAGAUAUCGGGAGGAACACCAGUGGCGAAGGCGAUCUUCUGGACGGAUACUGACGCUGAGGCGCGAAAGCUAGGGGAGCAAACAGG
rnacentral:rRNA from 1 species